rnacentral:rRNA from 1 species
AUUGAACGCUGGCGGCAGGCCUAACACAUGCAAGUCGAACGGUAACAGGAAGAAUCUUGCUUCUUUGCUGACGAGUGGCGGACGGGUGAGUAAUGUCUGGGAAACUGCCUGAUGGAGGGGGAUAACUACUGGAAACGGUAGCUAAUACCGCAUAACGUCGCAAGACCAAAGAGGGGGACCUUCGGGCCUCUUGCCAUCGGAUUUGCCCCGAUGGGAGUAGCCAGUAGGUGGGGUAACGGCUCACCUAGGCGACGACCCCUAGCUGGUCUGAGAGGGUGAACCACCACCCGGUAUCUGAGACUCGGUCGCGACUCCUACGGGGGGCAGCAGUGGGGACUAUUGCACGAUGCGGGAGAGCCUGAUGCAGCCAUGCCGGGUGUAUGAAGACGGACUUCUGGUUCUAAAGUACUGUCGGCGGGGAGGAAGGGAGUAACGUUAACCCCUGUGCUCAUUGACGUUACCCGCAGAAGAAGCCCCGGCUAACUCCGUG